rnacentral:rRNA from 1 species
GACGAACGCUGGCGGCGUGCUUAACACAUGCAAGUCGAACGGAAAGGCCCUGCUUUUGUGGGGUGCUCGAGUGGCGAACGGGUGAGUAACACGUGAGUAACCUGCCCUUGACUUUGGGAUAACUUCAGGAAACUGGGGCUAAUACCAGAUAGGAGCUCCUGCUGCAUGGUGGGGGUUGGAAAGUUUCGGCGGUUGGGGAUGGACUCGCGGCUUAUCAGCUUGUUGGUGGGGUAGUGGCUUACCAAGUCUUUGACGGGUAGCCGGCCUGAGAGGGUGACCGGCCACAUUAGGACUGAGAUACGGCCCAGACUCCUACGGGAGGCAGCAGUGGGGAAUAUUGCACAAUGGGCGGGAGCCUGAUGCAGAAACGCCGCGUGCGGGAUGACGGCCUUCGGGUUGUAAACCGCUUUCGCCUGUGACGAAGCGUGAGUGACGGUAAUGGGUAAAGAAGCACCGGCUAACUACGUG